AGUCGGUCUGCGCGGAAGAUGUAACGGGGCUAAACUAUGCACCGAAGCUGCGGAUUCAGAAUUUAUUCUGAGUGGUAGGGGAGCGUUCUGUAAGCGGUUGAAGGUGUACCGGGAGGUAUGCUGGACGUAUCAGAAGUGCGAAUGCUGACAUGAGUAACGAUAAUGCGGGUGAAAAACCCGCACGCCGGAAGACCAAGGGUUCCUAUCCCAUGUUAAUCAGGGUAGGGUAAGUCGACCCCUAAGGCGAGGCCGAAAGGCGUAGUCGAUGGGAAACGGAUUAAUAUUUCCGUACUUGGUAUAAUUGCGAUGGGGGGACGGAGCAGGCUAAGCAAGCAUGGCGAUGGUAGUCCAUGUGAAAGUGUGUAGGCUAGUGACUUAGGUAAAUCCGGGUUACUGUUAGGCUGAGACACGAGACGAGUCACCAAGGUGAUGAAGUUGCUGAUGCCAUACUUCCAGGAAAAGCCUCUAAGCUUCAGAUUAUACCGAAUCGUACCCCAAACCGACACAGGUGGUCAGGUAGAGAAUACUAAGGCGCUUGAGAGAACUCGGGUGAAGGAACUAGGCAAAAUCGUACCGUAACUUCGGGAGAAGGUACGCUCCGAUUGGUGAUGGGACUUGCUCCCUAAGCUGAUUGGAGCCGCAGUGACCAGGUGGCUGGGACUGUUUAUUAAAAACACAGCACUGUGCAAAAUCGCAAGAUGACGUAUACGGUGUGACACCUGCCCGGUGCCGGAAGGUUAAUUGAUGGGGUUAUCUUCGGAGAAGCUCUUGAUCGAAGCCCCGGUAAACGGCGGCCGUAACUAUAACGGUCCUAAGGUAGCGAAAUUCCUUGUCGGGUAAGUUCCGACCUGCACGAAUGGUGUAACCAUGGCCACGCUGUCUCCACCCGAGACUCAGUGAAAUUGAAAUCGCAGUGAAGAUGCUGUGUACCCGCGGCUAGACGGAAAGACCCCGUGAACCUUUACUACAGCUUGGCACUGAACAUUGAACCUACAUGUGUAGGAUAGGUGGGAGACUUUGAAGCAGAGACGCUAGUUUUUGUGGAGUCGUCCUUGAAAUACCACCCUUGUAGUUUUGAUGUUCUAACGUUGGCCCCUGAAUCGGGGUUACGGACAGUGCCUGGUGGGUAGUUUGACUGGGGCGGUCUCCUCCCAAAGAGUAACGGAGGAGCACGAAGGUUGGCUAAGUACGGUCGGACAUCGUACGGUUAGUGUAAUGGUAGAAGCCAGCUUAACUGCGAGACAGACACGUCGAGCAGGUACGAAAGUAGGUCAUAGUGAUCCGGUGGUUCUGAAUGGAAGGGCCAUCGCUCAACGGAUAAAAGGUACUCCGGGGAUAACAGGCUGAUACCGCCCAAGAGUUCAUAUCGACGGCGGUGUUUGGCACCUCGAUGUCGGCUCAUCACAUCCUGGGGCUGAAGUCGGUCCCAAGGGUAUGGCUGUUCGCCAUUUAAAGUGGUACGCGAGCUGGGUUUAGAACGUCGUGAGACAGUUCGGUCCCUAUCUGCCGUGGGCGUUUGAGAAUUGAGAGGGGUUGCUCCUAGUACGAGAGGACCGGAGUGAACGAACCGCUGGUGUUCGGGUUGUCAUGCCAAUGGCAUUGCCCGGUAGCUACGUUCGGAACUGAUAAGCGCUGAAAGCAUCUAAGCGCGAAGCAGGCCUCGAGAUGAGUUCUCACUAGACUUUUAAAGUCUCUGAAGGGCCGUUGAAGACUACAACGUUGAUAGGCAAGAUGUGGAAGUGGUGUGAGCCAUUAAGCUAACUUGUACUAAUUACCCGUGAGGCUUAACCAUACAACGCCAAACGCGUUU
rnacentral:rRNA from 1 species